UGGGGAAUAUUGGGCAAUGGGGGAAACCCUGACCCAGGCAACGCCGCGUGAAGGAAGAAGGCCUUCGGGUUGUAAACUUCUUUUACCAGGGACGAAGGACGUGACGGUACCUGGAGAAAAAGCAACGGCUAACUACGUGCCAGCAGCCGCGGUAAUACGUAGGUUGCGAGCGUUGUCCGGAUUUACUGGGUGUAAAGGGCGUGUAGGCGGAGAAGCAAGUUGGGAGUGAAAUCUAUGGGCUCAACCCAUAAACUGCUCUCAAAACUGUUUCCCUUGAGUAUCGGAGAGGCAAGCGGAAUUCCUAGUGUAGCGGUGAAAUGCGUAGAUAUUAGGAGGAACACCAGUGGCGAAGGCGGCUUGCUGGACGACAACUGACGCUGAGGCGCGAAAGCGUGGGGAGCAAACAGGAUUAGAUACCC
rnacentral:rRNA from 1 species